rnacentral:rRNA from 1 species
UACGUAGGGUGCAAGCGUUAAUCGGAAUUACUGGGCGUAAAGCGUGCGCAGGCGGUUGGGCAAGACAGAUGUGAAAUCCCCGGGCUUAACCUGGGAACUGCAUUUGUGACUGCACGGCUGGAGUGCGGCAGAGGGGGAUGGAAUUCCGCGUGUAGCAGUGAAAUGCGUAGAUAUGCGGAGGAACACCAGUGGCGAAGGCGGCUCACUGGCCCGAUACUGACGCUGAGGCACGAAAGCGUGGGGAGCAAACAGG